ensembl:lncRNA
CAGGAAACAAAAUAUAGACAUCUGUUUAUUUCAUGUCCAUUUGUCUUGGCUGAAUGUGAGAGACCUUGGGGACAAGGUUGCCAGCAGCAAAGGAGAGUACAGAUUUUUCUGGUCUGUAGUCUAUGGGCAGGCAGAGAGGCAGAAAUGUAAGGCACUGACACUCCUAUGCCUCUUGUGAGAUGAAUUCCUUUAUUCUGUUAAAAAAAAAAAAAAAAAAAAAGUGUAGAACAAUGUUCAUUGUAGUAUCAGCAGACAGGGCUGGAGACAUUAAAUACCUCCUUUUGCUUCCCAGCAACAGAGUCCUGCAGCAAGGGAUCAUCCCCAAAUCACUGCCCCUGCAAGAGAAGUGUUCCAUGCAUUUCUCUGCCUGACUUUCUCCCUGUGGAAGUACUGCUAUUUGAAGCAGAUUGCAUUAAACAAUUUGUUCUGCUCUUACUGCAGUAAUGUUUCAUCUACAUAGCUUAAUAUUUCUCAUGCAAGAUUUCCAGAUGCCCUGUGUCUCAAUUCAACAACGUUGAGACAAGCCUCACAGCCAGAACGUAGCCUAAACAUACGGACAUAACGACGGUGGAUCUCUGGCUUUCAGCAUCUUUGCAGUGGCUCUCCUCACUCUGCAAUUCUACUCCCAGCACCAAAAUCUGUCGCUGAAAUAUGAGCUUUGAUGACACAGUGCCUACCAUCGCAAUAUGAAAACAACCGGCUUCUCUGGGAGCCACAUAGGAGUGUACAUUUCAGUGUUUCUCAGUGAUUUUUCAACUGAAAAUAGUAGGCAAAAGUAUUAUAUGUUGAGUGUAGAACAUUGCCACCUACAAAAAUUUCUUUCUUUUUUUUUUUUAAAUCUUCAAUAGAAUGCAUUAUAAAUAAAUGAAUUCAUUUUCCUUGUGAAGCCUCAGUACUAAUACUGUCCCUUCAUGAGACACUGAUAGAAAGUAAAUGUGUAUGACGAUUGAAAUAAGCUUUGCUAAAACACAGAGGAUUCUAUUUUUUCAUUUUCUCACCAAAUCUGACUUCACCUGCUUUAAGACAAACAACUCACCAUCUCUAAUCAAAGACUUUUUUAAAAUUAUUUUUCAGAUGUAAAGCUCUCAGUUCACAAUGUGAUGAAUCCAGGCGGUGCCUCUCUCCACUGUGUCUGGCACUAGCAGUGUUUUCUUUCCUGCUCAGCCUCCAGCAGAAUUCUUAUUGACUAUUUUAGUAGCUUUGACUUCAGGGACUGGUGUAUUAUUCUCGACUCUAAGGAAAAAUAGAGAGUUUAUAGCAGAGGGCUCUGGGGACCUGCAUUCAGCACCCUGCCACAUCACAGGUACUUGUUACACAGAUGCUACUAUAUCGGUUUUCUUCCUUCUGCCUACAUUUUCUGCCUGUAAAAGAAGAAAGAUGUGGUUAUCAUCAUUAAGCUGGAGAAGAGCUAUCAAUUAGAGCAAGAGACUGCAGUGAGGAAAUCCGUACAAGCACCAUGCAGUAAGUUAGAACAAACACAUUUCUUCCUAUUUGCCAUUCUGUUCCUGCGUCCAGUAACUACAGAGGCUCCUGAGGAAAACAGGAAUGCAGCUGCCUUCUCACUUCAAGUGAGAUCAUUCAGAUCAGUAGGCAAAGGAAAUAAACAGCUGAGAGAGCACUGAAGUGGAGGUUAUGUUUCCUUUGGAGCUGCUGUUUACAUCAUGUAUGCUGCAGAAGAUGCUUAUUUACUCCCUUUAGAAUAGCUCUUGCACUCAGAGAGAUUUCUGUUGUGUUGCUGUUACAGCCCUCAGAGAGCAGGAAGAACUAUCCUUUUCUCACAUUUAGCUUUGAGAAGCCAUUCCAGGUUCAGGCCAUCUUUAAUGCAGCCCCUCUCUUGGCAACAGGAGAAUCCGUACCACUGCCUUCCUUCCAAUUUUUUAGGAAUUAUGAUAUAUGUUUUUUAAGAUCUUUUUGUGCUGUUAAAAAAAAUAGCCACAUGAUCUCCUAAUGAGUGGAGUAAUUGUUUCAGAGGCAGAAGUAAAACAUGCUACAUAUCGUAUCUUUCACUCACUUGCAUUUUCCCCUCCCUUGAGAUUUUUUUCGAGUCGAGCACACAGCAAUUCAGCCUUUGCAGGUAUUUUCUCCCCUAAUCUUUGUUGCUGCUGAAACCACCAGUGCAAAUCAGAAAUGCUGUAACACGGUCCUUUGUUUAGCUUACUUGUUGCACAUGAAGCCAAUGAAAAUGCAGGAUCAAAAAGAAACUUUCCCAAGUAUGGACAUUGACAGCUAAUGGAGUAUUAAUCAGGCAUCUUCCAUCUCACAGCCACCACCUUGUCAAGAAUGUCAUGAGGACAAGAUAGCUCUGACAGCAUCAUUCCUCUGUCAUAUUUGCAGCUGAUGAAUGGAUCCAGUAGUUAUUAAGUGAGACUGACAGACAGAAUGAUCAUCCAAGCCUCAUUUCCUGAAGAAGCCAGGCUAAAAAUUGUUCAGGUGGUGGGAAAUGCAUGUCAUUUCUUCAGAAUCUCCAAUGUACAGGAAGCCACCUUCACUUUAACACAUACUGAAGAUGAGCUUGAUCUACCUCACCACAGUGAAGAUGAGCUCAGUUUACCUCAAUCAGGAGGAAUCAGAUAAUCCUUCUGCUGACUUUGCUGCAGGAUAAUAUUUUCUAGGGCAGAAGUGCAUCAGGCAACCAAGAGGAACCAACAUCUAAAUCCACUAGAAAGUGAUUUUCUGAAGGCAGUAUAUUGUAGUCUUAAUUUCAGAGUUAUUCCUUGUUGGACUGUUAGAUUAAAAGACAACACUGGGAAAAUAUCAUAAUAUCCCAUAAAUUUACAUCUAAUAUGCAUGUUAAUUAGCAUUGCUAUUAUUUCAAUGUAGCUCCAUGGUUUUGUAAAUUUAUCAUAAUAGUACAUCAAUUCAUUAUAAUAUAUUUUAAUGUCUAAAACAGAGUUCUCCAAGGUUGGGAGGGUUGUUUACUGCUUCCUCGGUGUCAAAACCUUGUCCGGUAUACCUCACAGUAGGGUUAAGUGUUAACUCUUCCAGUGACAGCAAGUUGCCUCAUGGCAUGGCUGUAUCUGUGAUGCUUAUUGGUAACUUGAAGUUCCUGGAUAACAGAUGUUGUUUCCUGUUCAUCAUGUCCUAUGGGAAAUUACAUUUCAUAAGUUCAUUCUCUCCGUGGCUUUGUUUUGGAUUGGAAACAAAAUAAUUGGAAGGUUGGAUAAAAUUGUGUUGUAAGAAAGUUAAGUUUUUGUCUGUUCAAUACAUUUAUCU